UCCUGUUGAUCCUGCAGGAGAUUGCUGCUAUUGGGAUUCGACUAAGCCAUGCAAGUCAGAGGGACUCUUCGGAGUCACAGGCGAACUGCUCAGUAACACGUCAAUAAUCUGGCCUUAGGUCUGGGAAAACCUCGGGAAACUGAGGCUAAACCCGGAUAGGUGAAUUAUACUGGAAUGUUUUUUCACCCAAAGGCAACGCCUAAGGAUGAGUUGGCGGCCGAUUAGGCUGUUGGUAGUGUAAAGGACUACCAAACCUUCGAUCGGUAGGGGCCUUGAGAGAGGUAGCCCCGAGAAGGAUACUGAGACACGUGUCCUAGCCCUACGGGGUGCAGCAGGCGCGAAAACUCUACAAUGUACGCAAGUACGAUAGGGGAAUCCCAAGUGCUCAUGUUCUGCAUGGGCUUUUGCCAAUUGUAAAAAGCUUGGCGAAUAAGUGGUGGGUAAGACUGGUGCCAGCCGCCGCGGUAACCCCAGCGCCACUAGUGGCAAUCGCGUUUAUUGGGCCUAAAGCGUCCGUAGCCGGUUUGGUAAGUUCUGAGUGAAAUCGUUCUGCUCAACAGAACGGCAUGCUUGGAAUACUGCUGAACUAGAGACCGGAGAAGAGUUAGAAGUAUGUUGGGGGGAGCGGUAAAAUGCUAUAAUCCCUGAUGGACUACCUGUGGCGAAGGCGUCUAACUAGAACGGGUCUGACGGUGAGGGACGAAAGCCAGGGGAGCAAUCCGGAUUAGAUACCCGAGUAGUCCUGGCUGUAAACUCUGCGAGCUAGAUGUUGCGUAUUCUAUAUGAAUAUGCAGUGUCGGAGCGAAGGUGUUAAGCUCGCCGCCUGGGAAGUACGGUCGCAAGGCUGAAACUUAAAGGAAUUGGCGGGGGAGCACCACAAGGGGUGCGGCGUGCGGUUUAAUCGAAUUCAACGCCGAGAAUCUUACCAGAAGCGACGGCAGGAUGAAGGUCAGAUUAAGGGUCUUACCUGACGAGCCGAGAGGUAGUGCAUGGCCGUCGUCAGCUCGUACCGUGAGGUGUCCUCUUAAGUGAGGCAACGAGCGAGACCUAUACCUAUAAUUGCUAACAGGUUCUUUAGAACGACUGAGCACAUUAUGGGGACUGCCUUGGAAACGAGGAGGAAGGUGUAGGCAACGAUAGGUCUGUACGCUCCGAAUCUUCUGGGCUACACGCGCGCAACAAUGGUAGGCACAAUGGGAUGCGACUCCGAAAGGAGAAGCCAAUCCUCGAAAUCCUAUCCUAGUUUAGAUUGAGGGCUGCAAUUUGCCCUCAUGACAACGGAAUCCCUAGUAAUCGUAGUUCAUCAUACUACGGUGAAUAUGUCCCUGCUCCUUGCACACACCGCCCGUCAACUCAACCGAGCCAAGUUAAGAUGAGGCUUAAUUUUGUUAAUUCGAAUCUUAAUUUAGUGAGGUGGGGUAAGUCGUCACAAGGUA
rnacentral:rRNA from 1 species